CCUACGGGUGGCAGCAGUAGGGAAUCUUCCACAAUGGGCGAAAGCCUGAUGGAGCAACGCCGCGUGGGUGAAGAAGGUCUUCGGAACGUAAAACCCUGUUAUUAGAGAAGAAAGUGCGUGAGAGUAACUGUUCACGUUUCGACGGUAUCUAACCAGAAAGCGACGGCUAACUACGUGCCAGCGUCCGCGGUAAUACGUAGGUGGCAAGCGUUAUCCGGAUUUAUUGGGCGUAAAGGGAACGCAGGCGGUCUUUUAAGUCUGAUGUGAAAGCCUUCGGCUUAACCGGAGUAGUGCAUUGGAAACUGGGCGACUGGAGUGCAGGAGAGGAGAGUGGAACUCCAUGUGUAGCGGUGAAAUGCGUAGAUAUAUGGAAGAACACCAGUGGCGAAAGCGGCUCUCUGGUCUGUAACUGACGCUGAGGUUCGAAAGCGUGGGUAGCAAACAGGAUUAGAUACCCUAGUAGUC
rnacentral:rRNA from 1 species